UACGGAGGGUGCAAGCGUUGCUCGGAAUUAUUGGGCGUAAAGGGUAGGUAGGUGGUCUCAUUUGUCUGGGGUGAAAGCCUUGAGCUUAACUCAAGAAGUGCCCCAGAGACGGUGAGACUAGAGUCCUGGAGAGGGUCGUGGAAUUCCCGGUGUAGCGGUGAAAUGCGUAGAGAUCGGGAGGAACACCAGAGGCGAAGGCGGCGACCUGGACAGGCACUGACACUCAACUACGAAAGCGUGGGGAGCAAACAGG
rnacentral:rRNA from 1 species